AACGAACGCUGGCGGCAGGCCUAACACAUGCAAGUCGAGCGGACCCUUCGGGGUUAGCGGCGGACGGGUGAGUAACGCGUGGGAAUAUUCCCUUCUCUACGGACUACUCCUGGGAAACUGGGGGUAAUACCGUAUACGCCCUUUGGGGGAAAGAUUUAUCGGGGAAGGAUUAGCCCGCGUUGGAUUAGGUAGUUGGUGGGGUAAUGGCCUACCAAGCCGACGAUCCAUAGCUGGUUUGAGAGGAUGAUCAGCCACACUGGGACUGAGACACGGCCCAGACUCCUACGGGAGGCAGCAGUGGGGAAUCUUAGACAAUGGGGGCAACCCUGAUCUAGCCAUGCCGCGUGAGUGAUGAAGGCCUUAGGGUUGUAAAGCUCUUUCAGCUGGGAAGAUAAUGACGGUACCAGCAGAAGAAGCCCCGGCUAACUCCGUG
rnacentral:rRNA from 1 species